UGCAGUCAAGGAUGAAUUAUUCCAAAAUUGCUGAUUCACCAGGAUUAGUAUAAAAAUAUCACCAUCUUUCGGCUGAGAUUGCA
rnacentral:snoRNA from 1 species